AAAAUAAUGAAUCGGGUCUCUCUUCUUUAUCUUUAUCUUCUUUGCCCAUUGAAAUAUCCAAGAGAAGAGACUCCAAGAAAGUUGUUGCAGU